rnacentral:lncRNA from 1 species
UCUUCUUUGACAUGAGUUGCGGUGCAUCAUCCCCGACGUCGAGGGUACACGUGACGUGUUCGUGUGCGAACAAUGUGCACUUACAUUGCUGCCGUGGCGGGUAAAGCUCAAAAGUUUUGAGUUUUUUAGAAAUGUUAAUAUUGGCCGCAUGCUUCCCGUUUGCUAACAGAAAAUUAUUCUAAGCACGGUAAGCGUGAUGCCAGGGAAGUUGCUAAGUCAUGACGUAGUUUGAAAAAAGCCUCAACCACAAUCAAAAAAUUAAGGUGCAACCCAAAUCAGCGGAAACACGACAACGGUAGCACCACAUCCAAUUUAAAAGAUCUUUGAUCAAAGAGCUCAUGACCUUAAGGGAGAAAGUCCACCCAGUAAGAAGGCGGCGUCCAGCCAGGAGCCACCAUAGACAGGGAGGAGAGAUAUAAAUCAGCCCAUCAAGCAUCAGGCUGCGAACAUUCCUUUUGAAUUCUCAACCAGGAAAUGUUAGACAGAGCAAACCAAGUAUGUUCUAUGUUUUUCAAGUGUGCCCAAGCCCACAAACCCUGAUCAAGCUUUGGCAAAUUGAUUCCAACUACCAUCCUCGUAUACAAAACCAGAAACUAAGCUAGUUGCUCUUUCACGAAUAGAAGAAUGGACGUCAACAACAUCAUAAACGAAUUUUCUGAGCUAGAUUUGAUGAUAAACACAUUCAAGAUGCUACAAUGCACAGUUGGAAUGAUAACCAGGUCUGGUAUAUAAAAGCAAAUGGAAGAAUUAACCUAGCUACAAAAUCAUAACUAGCCUCAUCCCCCCACACUGAGUCACUCUAUCAACUUUGAACAUAAACCUAACCAGAUAAAGUUACAACAGGAAUUAAUCUAGCAAAGAUGAGACUUGUCGCAUUCGGCCCAUGGGCCAGCCAAUCUACUCUUGAGGAGGUCCUUGAGGUCCACGGUCACGACCCCCAGAGUGCCCACGGCCACGGCCACGGCCACGCCCACGUCCUCGGCCUCAACCCCUUCCUCCAUCACCUUCUGCACAGGAGAUUAAUAAUAAGAUACAUUGCUUAGCGAUGAUUAAAACCAUAUUCAGAGAGAAGUUGGGCAACUGAAAAAGAAUUAUUCAAAGGAAUGCCAAAGUCAAAGCACAAUAUUAACAUCACAUUUGAGAGGUUAAAUAUUAUUAUCUGUGGUUCUGCACGUCUCUAAUGAAGUGGUUAAUUAAUAUAUCGCAUAUAUGUCAUUAAGUGAUAAAAAAAACUGGGGCCAAAAUUAAAAAAUUGAGGGCUGUUAAGUAAAAAAAUUAAACAGAACUAACCAUAUCCUUGCACAGGAGGUCCAUUAUGCUCCACGCCAUGAUACCCACCAGCUUCUUCAUUUACAUAGCCAUAGCCAUCACCACCAUAACCCCUUCCAGGCCCAAAGGCUCCACGCCUACCCCUUCCU